rnacentral:lncRNA from 1 species
GAUCCGAGCGGGCACCGGGGGGCUGGAGAGCCGCCCGCUCCUCUUGCUUCCGUCUGAGGCAGGAGCUGGAGCUAUGAACCCAUGUCUAAACCCUUUGGCAGCUGCAGAAUGACCGAAAAUUGCUAUGAAGUGGCAUUUCAUUCUACAACAUCGCUCACUGUGCAAGGAAGGCUAAAACUCCAGCUCAAAGGCUGGCCUUGGUGACCUGUCCAUCAAGACCCUUAAAAUUCGAGCCCAUCGUGCCUAGCAGCCAAACACAGAAGAUGAGAAGGCAAAAUUCAUGACCUCCACAGGGGAACAUCCGUUCAGCUGCUGCUUUCAGAUGUCAGCAAUCAGUACUGAGUCUCCAUCACUGAGGUAAGAAGUGACCUUUUCCG